UAACUGGUGAAGGGCUUAUUAUUAGCCCGCA
rnacentral:sRNA from 1 species